rnacentral:pre_miRNA from 1 species
CACCUGAAACCGUGCCUGGAAUGACAUCAACCAAUUUCAGUCACUGUUUCUGGUGGA